CCCAUCUUGUGCUGGCCGUUGCGCUGUGCUUGUUCCCUCUUUUAUCGUUGGCAGAGGAUGAAAUAAUAAGUUCCGCGAAUAUGUCAACCUUUGCAAUCGCCCUAAGAUUAUUGGACCCAAGGAAUCUGAUGUGCUUUAUAUCGUGGCUGGACAAACUCGUCAAGAAAGCGCCAGCAUUAACUCGAGAAGUGGUGGAUUGUAGCAUAGGACUCGCAGAUUUGGAGUAUAAAAUUCUGUCCGCCUUGGAAAAGCUUGUGACCAUAGCCGGUCAGAUUGUUUUCGCCUGUGCGGGCUUGGUCUUAAAUGCAGUUAUUGGUGGUUUCUCUUGUGUCAAAGGAGUUGCAACACAGGUCCUGGAUCUAGUUGCAGUCAUGACAAGAUUCCAGGAAGCAAUUAGAGGUGGUGAACACGAAAAUGCGGUGCAAUGCAUAAAGGGAUCGUUCAAGAAAUUUUUCGAAGUCUCAACUGUUUUCGAAAUUGUCGAUGCCUGUAUCUUUCCCAACAAUUCGGCACCUUAAACAAGGGCUCUCCUAGCCAGUGAAAGGUUCUAUAAAGUAUACACAUACUACAUGAAAGGUUAUAUAAAGUAUAUACAAAUAACUAUGCAAA